CUAAUACUAGCCCACACAACACAAAACUCAACUAUCAUCACAAAUUAAACCAAAACAUUUACCAUAAAUAAAAGUAUAGGAGAUAGAAAUUAUAAUUGGCGCUAUAGAGACAGUACCGCAAGGGAAAGAUGAAAGAAAUAUUAAAAGUAAAAAACAGCAAAGAUUAUCCCUUGUACCUUUUGCAUAAUGAUUUAACCAGAACAAUCUGACAAAGAGAACUAAAGCCAAGUGACCCGAAACCAGACGAGCUACUCAAAAGCAGCUAAAGAGCAAACUCGUCUAUGUAGCAAAAUAGUGAGAAGACUUUUGAGUAGAGGUGAAAAGCCAAUCGAGCCUGGUGAUAGCUGGUUGUCCAAAAUAGAAUUUCAGUUCAACAUUAAGUCAUGCCUACAAAAAUUAUAAUUAAAAUGCAGACUUAAUAUAUAAUCUAAAAGGGUACAGCCUUUUAGAAACAGAAUACAACCUUAAUCAGAGAGUAAGUACAACACAACACCAUAGUUGGCCUAAAAGCAGCCACCAAUUAAGAAAGCGUUCAAGCUCAACAAACCCAUUAAACUAUAAUAAUAAUAAUAACAUACGAACCCCUGACCUAACAUUGGACCACUCUAUUAAAAAAUAGAAGAGAUACUGUUAAUAUGAGUAACAAGAAUUAACUUCUCCUAGCACAAGCCUAUAUUAGCUAACGGAUAAUCCACUAAUAAUUAACAGUAAGAUUAAUACAACACCACAACUAAAACAAUUAUCCAAUCAACUGUUAACCCAACACAGGAGUGCACCCAAGGAAAGAUUAAAAGAAGUAAAAGGAACUCGGCAAACACAAACCCCGCCUGUUUACCAAAAACAUCACCUCUAGCAUAACAACUAUUAGAGGCACUGCCUGCCCAGUGACAUCUGUUAAACGGCCGCGGUAUCCUGACCGUGCAAAGGUAGCAUAAUCAUUUGUUCUCUAAAUAAGGACUUGUAUGAAUGGCCACACGAGGGUUUUACUGUCUCUUACUUCCAAUCAGUGAAAUUGACCUUCCCGUGAAGAGGCGGGGAUAAAUUAAUAAGACGAGAAGACCCUAUGGAGCUUUAAUUAAUUUGCCUACAGACAACUAAACUCUAUCUCGAAAGGGUAUAAAAAAUGCUCUAAUAGGCUGACAAUUUAGGUUGGGGUGACCUCGGAAUAUAACAAAACUUCCGAGUGAUAAAAGUCCAGACUCACAAGUCUAAACACUGUACAUCAAUUAUUGAUCCAAUUUUUUUGAUCAACGGAACAAGUUACCCUAGGGAUAACAGCGCAAUCCUAUUUAAGAGUCCAUAUCGACAAUAGGGUUUACGACCUCGAUGUUGGAUCAGGACAUCCCAAUGGUGCAGCCGCUAUUAAUGGUUCGUUU
rnacentral:rRNA from 1 species